rnacentral:rRNA from 1 species
UACGUAGGGAGCAAGCGUUGUUCGGAUUUACUGGGCGUAAAGGGCGCGUAGGCGGCAAAUUAAGUCAGCUGUGAAAUCUCCGAGCUUAACUCAGAACGGUCAGCUGAUACUGAUCUGCUAGAGUGCGGAAGGGGCAAUCGGAAUUCUUGGUGUAGCGGUGAAAUGCGUAGAUAUCAAGAGGAACACCUGAGGUGAAGACGGGUUGCUGGGCCGACACUGACGCUGAGUGCGCGAAAGCCAGGGGAGCAAACGGG